rnacentral:rRNA from 1 species
CUCCAGACUCCUACGGGAGGCAGCAGUGGGGAAUAUUGCACAAUGGGGGAAACCCUGAUGCAGCGACGCCGCGUGAGCGAUGAAGUAUUUCGGUAUGUAAAGCUCUAUCAGCAGGGAAGAAGAUGACGGUACCUGACUAAGAAGCCCCGGCUAACUACGUGCCAGCAGCCGCGGUAAUACGUAGGGGGCAAGCGUUAUCCGGAUUUACUGGGUGUAAAGGGAGCGCAGACGGCAGUGCAAGUCUGGAGUGAAAGCCCGGGGCCCAACCCCGGAACUGCUCUGGAAACUGUGCGGCUAGAGUACUGGAGGGGCAGGCGGAAUUCCUAGUGUAGCGGUGAAAUGCGUAGAUAUUAGGAAGAACACCAGUGGCGAAGGCGGCUUUCUGGACUGAAACUGACGCUGAGGCUCGAAAGCGUGGGGAGCGAACAGGAUUAGAUACCCGUGUAAG